rnacentral:misc_RNA from 1 species
UUAUUAUUAUUAUUAUUUUUAUUUAUAAUUCCUCCAUGGAGUGUCCACACCUGUGGUAUUAGCCAUUUGUAUUGGCGUUAGAGUUUUUGUAACAUUUUUUAUUCAGUUUAAAAUGUGAGAUUUAUAUCUUUCUAGAGCUGUGCCUUCUUUUUACUUCUUUUUUUUUUUUAUUUAUAAAUUUGUUAAAUAUUUAGUGUGAUAUACUUUUUUAUUAAGUGGUUAUUGUUGUGGCAUGAUUUUUAUUAAAUGGGCAUUGUGAAUUGUGAUAUGUUCUUAUUAAAUUGGUAUUAAUGCUCUUGCUGUGAUGUAGUGCAAGUGUACAAAUUAUUGAAAAAAAAUUAAUUGUUUAAUACUUUAAUUUCCUAUUUACUUGAAUUGGGACAACAUUGAUGGUUGUUGUUGCAGUUACAUAAAUUCUUCUAUAUGUUUUGAAUUGGGACAGCCUUAAUAGUUGUUUAUACGUCUCUUUGAACUCAACUGUGACAUGAAUUCUUCCAUAUGUUGCCUAAAUGCAUAUGCCAAAGCCAUUAAUCUGUCAUUCAUAACUCUGCCAUUGAAUUUUAGCGAUGGGUAUUAUUUUAUUAGAUGGUUUUUAAUUAUAUAGAUGGUUUUAGUGAUGGCUAUUCUUCUAUAUGGUUUGUAUAUGUUGCUUUUUUUGUUAGAUGGGUAUUGUUUUGUUGUUAGAAGUAUGAAUUUUUAUUGUUUUGUUGUAUAUAAAUAUAAUUUUUGCAAUUUAGGCUAUAACGCCUCACCCCUCGCCUCUCGCCUAAGGCCAUA